rnacentral:tRNA from 1 species
UCGGGACUCGUCUAAUGGUAGGACUGCAGAUUCUGGCUCUGCCUAUCGGGGUUCGACUCCCUGGUCCCGAGCCA